CGGGGUGCACCAGGCGCGAAAACUUUACAAUGCGGGAAACCGUGAUAAGGGAACUCCGAGUGCCCGUUAAAUCGGGCUGUCCAUCAGUUUAAAAAACUGGUGAAGAAAGGGCCGGGCAAGACCGGUGCCAGCCGCCGCGGUAAUACCGGCGGCUCGAGUGGUGGCCACUAUUACUGGGCUUAAAGCGUUCGUAGCUGGUUUGUUAAGUCUCUGGGGAAAUCUUCCGGCUUAACCGGAAGGCGUCUCAGGGAUACUGGCAGACUAGGGACCGGAAGAGGUGAGGGGUACUCCAGGGGUAGGAGUGAAAUCCUGUAAUCCUUGGGGGACCACCUGUGGCGAAGGCGCCUCACCAGGACGGCUCCGACAGUGAGGGACGAAAGCUGGGGGAGCAAACCGGAUUAGAUACCCGGGUAGUCCCAGCCGUAAACGAUGUGCGUUAGGUGUAUCGGUGACCACGAGUCGCCGAGGUGCCGAAGAGAAAUCGUGAAACGUACCGCCUGGGAAGUACGGCCGCAAGGCUGAAACUUAAAGGAAUUGGCGGGGGAGCAC
rnacentral:rRNA from 1 species